rnacentral:ncRNA from 1 species
AAGAGGCGCGCUGCGACAGGUUCCCAGAGAUGGGAUUGAAAGGGAAUUCGGAAAUGGAGCGAUCCAUGAUCCGAAGCUGCCCCCGCAACUGUGACCGGCGAGUGCUCGCCCAACAUACCACUGGAUGUUCGCAUCCGGGAAGGUGGACGAGCAUGAUGACCCGCGAGCCAGGAGACCUGCCUGUCGUUGUCGAUCCUUC